rnacentral:rRNA from 1 species
GGAUGAACGCUAGCGGCAGGCUUAACACAUGCAAGUCGAGGGGUAACAGGAGUAGCUUGCUAUUUGCUGACGACCGGCGCACGGGUGAGUAACGCGUAUGCAACCUACCUUUUACUGGAGAAUAGCCUUUAGAAAUGAAGAUUAAUACUCCAUAAUAAUUAAGACUCUCCUGAGUUUUAAUUUAAAGUUUCGGCGGUAAAAUGGGUAUGCUUUUUUUAUUAGUUAGUUGGUAAGGUAACGGCUUACCAAGACUACGAUAAAUAGGGGUCCUGAGAGGGAGAUCCCCCACACUGGUACUGAGACACGGACCAGACUCCUACGGGAGGCAGCAGUGAGGAAUAUUGGACAAUGGAGGCAACUCUGAUCCAGCCAUGCCGCGUGCAGGAAGACGGCCCUAUGGGUUGUAAACUGCUUUUAUACAGGAAGAAACCUCCCCACGUGUGGGGGCUGACGGUACUGUAAGAAUAAGGAUCGGCUAACUCCGUGCCAGCAGCCGCGGUAAUACGGAGGAUCCAAGCGUUAUCCGGAUUCAUUGGGUUUAAAGGGUCCGUAGGCGGAUUUUUAAGUCAGUGGUGAAAGCCGACAGCUCAACUGUCGAACUGCCAUUGAUACUGGAGAUCUUGAGUACAAAUGAAGUAGGCGGAAUGAGUCAUGUAGCGGUGAAAUGCAUAGAUAUGACUCAGAACACCAAUUGCGAAGGCAGCUUACUAACAUGUAACUGACGCUGAGGGACGAAAGCGUGGGUAGCGAACAGGAUUAGAUACCCUGGUAGUCCACGCCGUAAACGAUCAUCACUCGCUGUUGGCGAUAUACAGUCAGCGGCCAAGCGAAAGUAUUAAGUGAUGCACCUGGGGAGUACGCCGGCAACGGUGAAACUCAAAGGAAUUGACGGGGGCCCGCACAAGCGGUGGAGCAUGUGGUUUAAUUCGAUGAUACGCGAGGAACCUUACCAGGGCUUAAAUGUAGUUUGACCGGUCUGGAAACAGACUUUCUCUUCGGAGCAGAUUACAAGGUGCUGCAUGGUUGUCGUCAGCUCGUGCCGUGAGGUGUUAGGUUAAGUCCUGCAACGAGCGCAACCCCUAUCUUUAGUUGCCAGCGAUUCGGUCGGGGACUCUAAAGAGACUGCCAGCGCAAGCUGUGAGGAAGGUGGGGAUGACGUCAAAUCAUCACGGCCCUUACGUCCUGGGCUACACACGUGCUACAAUGGUAGAGACAGAGGGCAGCCACCUGGCGACAGGGAGCGAAUCCUUAAACUCUAUCUCAGUUCGGAUCGAAGUCUGCAACUCGACUUCGUGAAGCUGGAAUCGCUAGUAAUCGCGCAUCAGCCAUGGCGCGGUGAAUACGUUCCCGGGCCUUGCACACACCGCCCG